UGUCUGCAGGGAGGACUUCUCCAGCUCCUGGGCUGGAUGCUGCGCACCAACAGACCUCCCGUCGCAGGGGUCCUCCAAAAGGAAAGACCCAAGAUACUGCAGCCACAAAGUCUCAUGAGUCAAACGAAUUCCUGAGACAAACACAGAAGGAAGCACAGGGAGGACAAGUGACGGACCAAACAUCUCUGCAAAAGGAGGUACAUUCCGGAGGAAGCAGUGGCUCAGUGGCAAGCUCUGCUGCAGGAAGGAAGGCAAUGCCAGGCACGGGCACAGGCACAGGAGAUGCAGCCAGCACCACAGCACCU